rnacentral:rRNA from 1 species
ACUUGAAUUGAAGAGUUUGAUCAUGGCUCAGAUUGAACGCUGGCGGCAGGCUUAACACAUGCAAGUCGAACGGUAGCAGGAGAAAGCUUGCUUUCUUGCUGACGAGUGGCGGACGGGUGAGUAAUGCUUGGGAAUCUGGCUUAUGGAGGGGGAUAACGACGGGAAACUGUCGCUAAUACCGCGUAUUAUCGGAAGAUGAAAGUGCGGGACUGAGAGGCCGCAUGCCAUAGGAUGAGCCCAAGUGGGAUUAGGUAGUUGGUGGGGUAAAUGCCUACCAAGCCUGCGAUCUCUAGCUGGUCUGAGAGGAUGACCAGCCACACUGGAACUGAGACACGGUCCAGACUCCUACGGGAGGCAGCAGUGGGGAAUAUUGCGCAAUGGGGGGAACCCUGACGCAGCCAUGCCGCGUGAAUGAAGAAGGCCUUCGGGUUGUAAAGUUCUUUCGGUAUUGAGGAAGGUUGAUGUGUUAAUAGCACAUCAAAUUGACGUUAAAUACAGAAGAAGCACCGGCUAACUCCGUGCCAGCAGCCGCGGUAAUACGGAGGGUGCGAGCGUUAAUCGGAAUAACUGGGCGUAAAGGGCACGCAGGCGGUUAUUUAAGUGAGGUGUGAAAGCCCUGGGCUUAACCUAGGA